rnacentral:rRNA from 1 species
AUCCAGACACGGAGGCAGAGAUGCUUUGGUGCCUUCGGGAACUCUGAGACAGGUGCUGCAUGGCUGUCGUCAGCUCGUGUUGUGAAAUGUUGGGUUAAGUCCCGCAACGAGCGCAACCCUUAUCCUUUGUUGCCAGCGAUUCGGUCGGGAACUCAAAGGAGACUGCCGGUGAUAAACCGGAGGAAGGUGGGGAUGACGUCAAGUCAUCAUGGCCCUUACGAGUAGGGCUACACACGUGCUACAAUGGCGCAUACAAAGAGAAGCGACCUCGCGAGAGCAAGCGGACCUCAUAAAGUGCGUCGUAGUCCGGAUCGGAGUCUGCAACUCGACUCCGUGAAGUCG